rnacentral:rRNA from 1 species
AUUGAACGCUGGCGGCAGGCUUAACACAUGCAAGUCGAGCGGAGCGAGGGUGCUUGCACCUUAGCUUAGCGGCGGACGGGUGAGUAAUGCUUAGGAAUCUGCCUAUUAGUGGGGGACAACAUUCCGAAAGGAAUGCUAAUACCGCAUACGCCCUACGAGGGAAUGCAGGGGAUCUUCGGACCUUGCGCUAAUAGAUGAGCCUAAGUCGGAUUAGCUAGUUGGUGGGGUAAAGGCCUACCAAGGCGACGAUCUGUAGCGGGUCUGAGAGGAUGAUCCGCCACACUGGGACUGAGACACGGCCCAGACUCCUACGGGAGGCAGCAGUGGGGAAUAUUGGACAAUGGGCGGAAGCCUGAUCCAGCCAUGCCGCGUGUGUGAAGAAGGCCUUUUGGUUGUAAAGCACUUUAAGCGAGGAGGAGGCUACUUAGAUUAAUACUCUGGGAUAGUGGACGUUACUCGCAGAAUAAGCACCGGCUAACUCUGUGCCAGCCGCCGCGGUAAAAC